rnacentral:rRNA from 1 species
UACGGAGGGGACUAGCGUUGUUCGGAAUUACUGGGCGUAAAGCGCACGUAGGCGGAUUUGUAAGUCAGGGGUGAAAUCCCGGGGCUCAACCUCGGAACUGCCUUUGAUACUGCAAAUCUCGAGUCCGGAAGAGGUGAGUGGAAUUCCUAGUGUAGAGGUGAAAUUCGUAGAUAUUAGGAAGAACACCAGUGGCGAAGGCGGCUCACGUGGUCCGGUACUGACG